AUACAGCAAAGUCAUUAUCAUAACACGCACAGACACACACCAUAACUUUGCUUCGUUGUUCUAAACACCCAGAUUAAAAUUCGGCCACAUCUUCUAGUGUAUGAUGUAUCUGUGGUGUGUGUGAGUGUGAUUUGGGUCAUCAGUAUUGAGGCUGUGUGCUAUAUAUACGCAGGACCUACGGCUACGCAGACUGUUUGGUAACCGUCAAGCUCCAAACCUCCAACAACGCUCAGAAAUGAUGGUAUGACGUUGGCUAAACAGACCUGUGUCCAAUUGCGUGAGGUGAAAUGCAGUUAAGCUACUUUAAGGAGAUCGAGUCGAGUCUUGAAUAAAAAAAGUGACAGAGAGAAGAAGAGGGCCAGGGAGAGACAGAGAAACAUGGCCAGCAGACUCUUGGCGGCUGUGAUGAGGUCGACCACGGAGGUCAGCAGAUCGUUGGGGAGCCGCCGCGAGGUCCUGCUCUCUGAUUGGCUGCUGCGGCGGCGGCCGGAAAUGAAGUUCUGCAGGUUUUUGGCUGAG